rnacentral:misc_RNA from 1 species
AAGGCCGCUGAGAAAAUGAAAACAUUGAAAACAAUUCGACGAAAAAGAACUUGUUGGUGAAUGGUAGUUUUAAGAAUUUCACAAUUUUCGGACUUUAAAAUUAAUAAUUAUAUAUUUCUGGUGUACUUUAAAUUAAAUAAAUUAUAUUUUCCGUUUUUAACGUGACCACGUACAUAUAGUACCUCUGAUGUAUAAAAUGAUGUAUGUUUGUUACUUCAGAUAAUAAACAACAACUAACAUUCAAUCAGAUAAAGAAAAAAAAAUAACCGAAAUGCUGUUGAAAAGUUAUCUAUAAUGUCUGAACACAGGAAACAUUCUAGGAUCUCGGUGAUGCAAAUGUUUCAUGAGCUCAAACAGCAAUUUCCAACAGUUCCAGAUCAAGUUGUUUCUGAUUGUAUUCUCAAGCAUUCAACUAAUCGAGAAGCUUGUAUAUCAAAUCUAAGAAGUGUUCAAAAAAAUUAUGUUCAACAAACUUAUCCAUCUGACAUUGUAGAUAAAAUGGCUAACAGGCCCAAGUCUCUUGAAAUGUCACAAAAUAAUCUAUCCUUGCCUAAAUUACAAUUUUCAAAUAGACCACAUCAAUUUGAUGAAACUAAGGAUUUAAUAAACACAAAUAGAAGUGAUAUAGAUAACACACAAAUUUUAGAUAUAGAUUUUAAUAUAAAUAGAUGUCAAUGUUCAUCUGUUUCGGCACCCUCAACUCCUUUACAGCGGCAUCAAGGAGAGCAUAGACACAAAUCUUGUCUUUCAUUAGAUUCUGUGCCAUUUGUUGAUACACAGUAUCGACCAUUUACUUCUGUAAGCCUCACCUUAAGAACGCCUACUAAAGAUCCUUUACCUCCUUUAGAUUUAUCAGCUGGAGGAGGUUCUGAACUCACGUAUACAGCUUGUUCAUUUGAUCCAACAACUGACCCUAAAAAUUGUUAUCAAUCAAGACUUCACAUAAGUAUUGACCCCGAAGGUGAAACAACUGUGACUACUUCUCGUGUUAUGGUAUCUCCUACAAAUAUUAAAUCUAUUAAUCGAAUGACUGAAAUUCAACUUCCUGGAUCAGUUCAAAUUGAAAAUAUAUUACCUAAAACUAAAAUGGUAAUUAAUGCUCAAUUAGAACGUAAGCAGAAGUUGGCUUUAGAAUUGUCGGCUGAAAAACAAAGACUAGAAAUUAUGAAAAAAAAUGUAGCAUUGAUGGAAGAAGAUAUUUCUAAAAGGCGUUCAUAUUCCAGAAAGAUUGAACGUUUAAGAAAUGAUGUUGAAUUAUUACGAAUAGAAUGUAACAAAUUAACUGUUCAAGUUGAUACAGCAACAGAAAAUCAAGCAGUUCCAUUGGAAAAAACAAAUAAACAAUUUUAUAAUAAAAUUUAUACUGGACAAAAAGUUUCUUUUGGGAAAACGCACAAAGAAUAUCAAGAACAUUCUGAAAACCAAAACUGGGUUUGUCCUAUGUGCACAUUCCAAAAUCAUCCAAUAUUACCAAGAUGUGAACAAUGUGAUAUGGCUCGCUUCGAUCUAGGUACUACUACAUCAGUUAUGAACAACAAUAUUCCCAUGUGCACCAAAUUAACUGCAAAUCUAACAAGACAAUGCUUAACAUGAGUUUGAAACUUUUUGCAGUGUGUGAUGGAAAACCACAGCCAUAUCCUGGAAAUAUUCAUGUAAGAGUUACGCAUCGAUUAAAUCAUCAAAGAAAAACUACAAGUUUAUACUGAAGUAUUGAUUUUGGAUGUUUGUUGAACUGAGUCAUCAGUGUCUUCGUUUGAUUGAACGAAAUUCAAUUUCUCCUAAUGCCUUUAAUGUGAUACUUAAAAGUAUAGGGCUAUUUUUUUUUUAUUUUGCAUCGUAUUUUACAUUACAAAUAUCUAAAUGGAGUAUAUGGAUAUUUAUAGAGGACUUGAUAAUUGCUCAUUUAUACUGUUAUUAAAAAUUGUCAAUGCUCUAGAUACACUAUGUACAAUGUUAAAAAUAAUUUUGUAAACUGAUGAGUAAAUACUUUUUAUACAAGUUGAAAUUUAAAUAAUGUUAUGUAAUUGAGUGAUAAAGUUACACAAUUUUUAUAAGUAUAAGAUUUACCAAAUUACAUUAAUUAAAAUCAAUAACAUUUUAUUUGUAUAAAAU